rnacentral:rRNA from 1 species
ACGAACGCUGGCGGCGUGCCUAAUACAUGCAAGUCGAACGGUCUUUCUAUGGAAGCUUGCUUCCACUGAGAAGAUAGUGGCGAACGGGUGAGUAACACGUGGGUAACCUGCCCAUAAGAGGGGGAUAACAUCCGGAAACGGGUGCUAAUACCGCAUAGUUUUCUUGAUCGCAUGAUCGGGAAAGGAAAGACGGCCUUUGUGCUGUCGCUUAUGGAUGGACCCGCGGCGUAUUAGUUAGUUGGUGAGGUAAUGGCUCACCAAGACGAUGAUACGUAGCCGACCUGAGAGGGUGAUCGGCCACAUUGGGACUGAGACACGGCCCAAACUCCUACGGGAGGCAGCAGUAGGGAAUCUUCCGCAAUGGACGAAAGUCUGACGGAGCAACGCCGCGUGAGUGAAGAAGGUUUUCGGAAUCGUAAAACUCUGUUGUCAGAGAAGAACAAGUUGGAGAGUAACUGCUCCAGCCUUGACGGUAUCUGACCAGAAAGCCACGGCUAACUACGUGCCAGCAGCUGC